rnacentral:tRNA from 1 species
GGGGGUAGAUAAGGACUGGUGUCUUUACAGGUCUUCAACACCUAGUUGUGGUACUAAUACUAUCAUAGGUGGGUUCGAUUCCCACAUACUCCCGCCA